UACGGAGGAUCCAAGCGUUAUCCGGAUUUAUUGGGUUUAAAGGGUGCGUAGGCGGUUUUAUAAGUUAGAGGUGAAAUCUCGGGGCUCAACUCCGAAAUUGCCUCUAAUACUGUAGGACUAGAGAGUAGUUGAGGUAGGCGGAAUGUAUGGUGUAGCGGUGAAAUGCUUAGAGAUCAUACAGAACACCGAUUGCGAAGGCAGCUUACCAGACUGUAACUGACGCUGAAGCACGAGAGCGUGGGUAGCAAACAGG
rnacentral:rRNA from 1 species